UACGAAGGGUGCAAGCGUUGUUCGGAAUUACUGGGCGUAAAGCGCGCGUAGGCGGGUCUAUAAGUAGAUUGUGAAAUCCCUGGGCUUAACCUGGGACGUGCAGUCUAAACUGUAGAUCUUGAAUGUCUGAGAGGAUGGCGGAAUUCCCGGUGUAGUAGUGAAAUACGUAGAUAUCGGGAAGAACACCUGAGGCGAAGGCGGCUAUCGUGGCGGAACAUUGACGCUAAGGCGCGAAAGCGUGGGGAGCAAACAGG
rnacentral:rRNA from 1 species